rnacentral:rRNA from 1 species
UACGUAGGGGGCAAGCGUUGUCCGGAUUUAUUGGGCGUAAAGAGCGUGUAGGCGGCUAGAUAGGUCCGUUGUGAAAACUCGAGGCUCAACCUCGAGACGUCGAUGGAAACCAUCUGGCUAGAGUCCGGAAGAGGAGAGUGGAAUUCCUGGUGUAGCGGUGAAAUGCGCAGAUAUCAGGAAGAACACCCCGUGGCGAAGGCGACUACCUGGCCUGUUCUUGACGCUGAGGCGCGAAAGCUAGGGGAGCAAACGGG